UAAAAGUUGAUCAGAUUAGCUCCUCCAUAUCGUUUUGAGCACUGUAGAAGUGCAAUUUAUCUUCUCCUUUCUCCAAUCUCUGCCUCACGCGUGUCCCUGACUUGGCUCUGCCUUUUUUUCUCACUUUUCUUUUAGGGACGAGCAGGUUACCGGCUACCGGCUGAGGCGCUUUUCGUGAGUCUCCUGAUCUUUGGGUGAAGUUGCCUCCUAUUAGUCUAAUAACGUGGCAUUUUUUGAGAAACGUGGCAGUUUCCUGCUAGCCCACCAGUUAUUAUAGAGAUAUUUCUGGACGUUUCUGGGUAACUAGACUGCAUCUCUAUCUUCUCCAGGUUCACGCCCCACCGCUCACCCCCGCAUCGUAACCGACCUCCACAGCCGGCUGAGAAACCGGCGCCGCCCUCUGUACUUCUUCUUUAUCCUCUCCGGAGUACGGCAGCUCCAUGGGCGACCGCUUUCUCCUCCAGAAGCGAGACCCAGCGCCCAUCCCCAAGGUUCUCCGCUCGAGACGGACGGUACCAUGGCGGCGAGAUCAACCUGAAGCUCCUCAUCUUCCGUCUCCUAGGAUGCGGCAUGUCAGAUGCACGUAUGUGCUACAUGAUCGAUUAAGAUGUGGCGUGGGGGGUUGCUGGUCGCGGCAUGGGGUGUUCCGGGGACAAAUCCAACAUGGUGGAGCAUCCGUGCAGCGAGAGGAACAAGGAGCACGCUGCACUGUCUGGUUGAUUAGAUCAGUCGCCGAGCAGCAGAGAUUUGGCAAUGGCGAAGGAGCAGCAGACCACUCUGUGGGCAACGCGGUGUUGCGUAACGUCUGCCCAAUAACAGGAAGGAGGGUGUCGCCCGUUUGGCAGCCUGGCCGACCAGCAGCGCCGGCCGGCCACAAGGACGGAGAGGUGGCUUUCUGCGGGUCAAGUUUUGCGUAACAUGCCAGCAAGAGGAAGGAGGGUGGCGCCCGUUUGGCAGCCUGGCCGACCAGCAGCGCCGGCUGGCCACAAGGACGGAGAGGUGGCUUUCUGCGGGCGUCUGCUGCUGCAAGUUCGCUGUACGGUCGGUUUAUUUGGCUGGUGAGGAACCCUAAUUUCCUUGGGUCAAGUUGGCUGUAUGAUCGGUUUAUUUGGCUGCUAACAGCAGGACGGCUUGGGAAAACAUAAUAAGGAGGAGUAGAACAUGUGUUGCAGGUACACAGGUUCUAUAUUUUUCUGUUGUCAUGUUCUGAGUAGGAGUAGGACAUUUGUCUUGCAGCUGUUUGUGUUUAUGCCUAAAUGGAAAAAAGGAAUUUGUCUAGAAAAGAACAAGUCAUGACAGUGUUGCCGAUGGUGCUUAUUGCUUAUUACAUGUUUAGAAUGCAGAAUUUCUAAUAUUUUCUCCGCUAUGCCAAGUUGUUGAUGUCCAUGUGUUUUAGUUUGCUAUUGUUUCGGGCCAUCUAAAAACACACCUUAGUUUUGAUAAUUUGUUUAUGAUUAACCAUCCAGACUUCUACAAACAGAGCUCCAUGUCUUACCUUCCUGGGAGCUCUUCCAGGAGGCCUGGAAGAUAUACAAAAACGUAUUCAGCUGGAUGCUACUCAUCUGAUGGGUUAUAUGCCUAAGCGAAGGUUCAAGCCCUGGUGCAGAAUUAUGAAAGUGUUCUUUUUUUUUUGCCUGGAUUAUAGAAGUGCUAUCGCAACAUACAUUGAGUUACCUUUCUACCCAGCUUUUUGCCUUCUUGAUAUUAUAACAUAGGCUCACCUUUCUUUUUGUUGGAAUAGAUGUACAACACGCGUUUAGAAGUCUAACUGCAGUGAUGUUGGCAGGGACCAUUAAAACGACAUUUUGGCUUUCCCUAUUGAUGUAUGCAUGUGUCUGGCUCAAGAAUAUCGAGGUACUUAAUUGAGAUGAAAAGAAAAUCUCUAUGUUUAGUUUUCCAGUUCAUUUUCCACUGGAAACAUCACAAAACACUACUGCUUGGUUUUAGUUUUAUUUUGGGUCCCUUAAUUAACAAAAGGUUAUUUUGAAUUUCCAAAUUAUGAUCAGAUGUUUGUGACCUGGGAUUGUGUAUUUUUUUCCUGCAUAUUCUUCUGUUCAUAUCCAUUUGAUGCAGGAAAAUACUUACUUCAUGCAAUUCUUAUUACAAAUUUAUGGAGUCCUCUUCCGUCGAGCUUAUUGUCCAGUUUUUCCCCACAUUUAACUGCCGAAGUUCCGAUUUUGCCCAGAUGAAAUAGCAAGUGCAAGUGUGCACUGCUCGAAUUGUUCAUAUAUGUUGAUGCUGUCCUAGAUGGGGCUCUUCCCGUUUAAGUAUCAUUACGGUAAUCUCCCGGAUCCUACUUUUCUUGGUUGUUUCUAUUAAGCUGCACAUACUGAAGUUGGACUCUUAAAUUUAAUUGGGCUCAACUCAACAAAUCUGCAGCAGACGGUUAUGCUUACUCACUCCUCAACCUAUCUAUGAGAGCUAAAGUGGCCUAACGAAUUUUGUUCACACAGGAAAGGCAUAUGGCCAAUGCUUAGUUUCAUGUACAUUGUAAGGCACCAUCCUGACGGCUGUCUUCCCUAGCUGUAUCUUUUCUACUGCGUGUAAUUCUGCAUAUUUGCAAUGCAUGGGUGUGCAAAGAGUUGCAUUUAUUUUUCCUGUUUUUAUGUUCCAAUUCCGAAUGGAACACGCCAUCUACAUAAUGUAUUGUUUUAACUCGAUCCUUUUGAAACUGGUACUUACAGGUUCCCAGCACGUAGUUGCAUCUAUGCUGUUUGUUCUAUUUUAAUCUCUUCGAUUUUCACUUACAAACCAGAGUACUAACAAAUGGUUUCACCGGAAUGAACAAAAUAAUUGUAUGCAUGAUUCAGGGUAUUACUACUGUUCCGUUUCUCUAGCUUUUGCUCAUUUGUCGGUGGUAACCGUAAUGGGACACCAGAGGAAAAGAUAACGUACCAGCCACUGACGACUGAAUCUAUGCUAGCUGACGCUUCUCCUCAUCUGCCCGUAGUUCACCGCAUAUCUUUCCCCGCCGCAUAUUCUCGCUCACGUCGCGAACUGCACUAGCGACCGCAUAAAGCCGCUCCAUCGCCACCCUCCGCCCCGGGAUGGCAAAACGCCUACGCUGGCGAGCGGUCCAGC